AGGAACCACACACAGCUUCAGAGAUCUGUUGAAAAUCUGGGUGAAGAUGGGGGCCAGCUGGUCAGCACAGGCUCUCAGACAUGAAGGGAGAGACACCAUCAGGUCCUGGACCCUUCUU